CAAGGUCAUUUAAAGAAAAGGAGAAAUUGGCCAGGUUUGGUGGCUCAUGCUUAUAUUUCGAACACUUUAGGGGGUCGCGGUGGGAGGACUGCUUGAGACCAGCCUGGGGAACAUAGUGUGACCUUGUUGCUAUGAAAAAGAAAAAAGAAAAGAAGCCAGGCUGAUGGCACAUGCCUGUAGUCCCAGCUUCACAAGAGGUUGAGGUGAGAGAAUUGCUUGACCCAGAAGUUUGAGGCUACAGUGAGUUAUUAUUGCAGCAUUGUACUCUGGCCUGGGCAACAGAGUGAGACCUUGUCUCUUAAAAAAAAAAUGUUUUAGGCCAGGCGUGGUGGCUCCCAUCUGUAAUCUCAGCACUUUGGGAGGCUGAGGCGGGCGGAUCACAAGGUCAGGAGUUCGAAACCAGCCUGACCAACAUGCUGAAACCCUGUCUCUACUAAAAAUACAUAAACUAGCUGAGCAUGGUGGCGUGUGCCCGUAAUCCCAGCUACUCAGAAGGCUGAGGCAGGAGAAUGGCUUGAACUCGGGAGGCAGAGGUUGCAGUGAGCUGAGAUUGCACCACUGCACUCCAGCCAGGGCAACUGAGCGAGACUCCAUGUGAAAAAAAAAUGUUUUUAAAAAUUAGGAAAAAUCCAGCCUGGGCAACAUGGUGAAGCUCCGUCUCUACAAAAAAUACAAAAAUCAGCUGGGCAUGGUGGUGUGUGCCUGUAGUCCCAGCCACUCGGGAGGCUGAGGUGGGAGGAUCACCUGAGCCUGGGGAGGAUGAGACUGCAGUGAGCCAUGAUUGCACCACUGUACCCCAGCCUGGGUGACAGAGUGAGACCCCCGUCUCAAAACAAAACAAAAAAAAACAACUAGGGGAAGACUGCACAAGAAAAGAAAACAUAGAAAAAAGGGAAACAAAGAUUUGGAAAAAAGAAAAAUCCCAACAGAAUAGCCAAGGACAGGAAAUGCACUGAUGGGUAAUGUCCUCCCUAUAGUAGAUGAAAGUCUCUACUGCCUUCCCUUAAUGCUUGUUCCUUGGCUCUGCUGACAAGUUGGGAGCCAGGGUAUGAACUUGGUGGGUGGCGACACAUCUGCUGACCUCGGGUCUGCUGGGAAGAAUACAGGGCAGGACCUAUGUUUGGUGUCAGAAUCAUCUGGAGGUAGGUUGGAGCCUCUCCCCUUUUUUCUCUAUUCUAUCCCCAUUCUCUGAAAACCUUCGCUGGCUAUAGGGAUAAUCAGGCUGACAGGAAAACUUUUAAAUUCAUUUAUUUGAAUUUUAGAGAAAACUAGAAGAUGGAAAACCACAACUGUGGGAUUGAAGUCCACAGAAAAGGCCUGACAGGACAGUAUUAGAAUGAGUGGCCUGCCUGGCUGGGCACAAUGGCUCACACCUAUAAUCCCAGCACUUUGGGAGGCUGAGGUGGGCAGAUCACCUGAGUUUGGGAGUUUGAGACCAGCUUGACCAACAUGGAGAAACCCCGUCUCUACUAAAAAUGCAAAAAUUAGCCGGGCGUGGUGGUGCAUACCUGUAAUCCCAGCUACUCGGAAGGCUGAGGCAGGAGAAUCACUUGAACCCAGGAGGCAGAGGUAGCAGUGAGCCGAGAUUAUGCCUUUGCACCCCAGCCUGGGCAACAAGAGCAAAACUCAUCUCAAAAAAAAAAAAAAAAAAAAUGAGUGGCCUGCCCAACCCUGCCAGUGGCCUGACCUAGACCGUAUACAGAGGAGUAGAAGCUGCUGUGUUAAAGGGCUGGCAGGCACCACAGUUUGUUUCCUUUCACCCUAGUUUUCUCAUAUUUGUGUAUAGUCAUUUGUGGAGCAUUGGUGGCCCAGUAUCUCUUUAAGCCUUUUUUUGUCAUUUUUUUUAGUGUCUUAUACUACCCACAAUGUGGGCUGUACACCUGUUGCUCUGCCUCCACCCCCACAAACCAAAAGUAAGUUCUGUGGUAACAAGGAUGGGAAUUAUUUCUAGGUUGCAGUCCAUGAGCUGGGAAAGGAGGCAGUGCUCUUGGGAGAAACAGCAGAGGCCUCAAGUUUCGGGCUGAAGCCAACAGAGUCCCAACCAGUGGGCGUAUCCCAAGAUGAAGAAUUUUGGAAUACAUACCAGGGUCUGCAAGAACAGCUCAGCAGGAAUACUCAUAAAGACACUGAGCCUGUGUAUGAGAGGGCUGUGCCUACUCAACAGAUUCUAGCUUUUCCUGAGCAAACAAAC
rnacentral:lncRNA from 1 species